ACCUGUGUUCGUGUCUGGCGCUGUUCGAAAUAAUUUUAAACGUGUGAUUAGUUUUGUGCGCGGUGUAGAAAAAGAUGUGGCCGUGCUUUGUGUAUUACUUGUGCCCCACUUGAAAGCAAAGCGUUCGUACGCACUGUAAGAUGGAUCCACGGAGGCUGAAACGAGCAGUUGCAACGUGCCCAGUGUCGGCGGUCGGUAGUACUGCCAUAAUGGAAAUAUUCAGGCAAGUGCCCGUUUAUUUGGUAUUUGUUUGGUGGGUUACGUGUUAUUGUUCGCUCUAGAAGUAUCUCACUGUGAUCUCGUAGCAUAUUUCACUAAUGUAAGUGCAAGAGCAGCUGCGCUCCUAGUAGGGCAAGUUAACUACCUCGAUCGCGUCCCGUGUGACAAGUUUGUCAAACCUAUAUCGGGCGUGGUGCGCCUGCAUACUUCCGCUUUGUUUCUCAGCGCUUGAACGUUCAUAGGUGUGAUUCUCUCGUGCGUUCAGCGCGGCUUCUUGUAAUACGGUCGUUCGCACUUAAGUGAAAUGUGGUCGACCACUUUUGCGUCGCGCAGAAAAAGGACGACUGGCUUUGCCACCUUUCGAAAGAAUCGGCGCGGUAUUGGUUAUCCCUGUUGCCGUCGCGUGCGGCUGUUGCUGCUUGCCGGAUGCCUUCAGCAUAUUUUAGGCUGGCUUGUACGUGUGUUUGUGCGCUCGCUCGCGCUCGGCUCUGUGUGUGUGUGUGUGUGUGUGUGUGUGCGCGCGUGUGCGCGUGUGCGUGCGCGUGUGUGUGUGUGUGUGUGCGUGUGUGUGCGUGUGUAUGUCCAUGUGUGUGCGUGCGUGCGCGCGCGUACAUGCAGGUUUGUAUGGGCCAGCGUGUUUGCGUGUGUCUUGUGCGUACGUGUUUUGUGAGCGUGUUUGUGUAUGCGUGCGUGUGCGCGCAUGUUUCUGUGUAAGUCGCGGUGUGUGCGUGCACGUGUUAGUGUGCCUGCCUGCAUGUAUGUGUGCUUGUUUGUGUUUAUCAAUGUGUGCGUGUGCGCGUAUCAAUGUGUGCGUGUGCGCGUGCGCGCUUUUGUGUCUGCGCUUUGACAGUGCGCAUAUUUGUGUGUGCGUGCGAGUGCGUUUUGUGUGCGUGCGUAUGUAUUGCAUAAGGUCGGUAGAGUUUUACUCGCAGUAAAACCCUUCCAAUUUGGUGCAGCGAGUGUUCCUGCCUGAAAGCCGAGCUUGGUUUGAAGCCACCCUGGACAACUGCUGUAUGAGGCCGUUUCUUGGAGGACCACUGGGAAGGCGUCAGGUCGUGCAGGUGAUAGCAGCAGUUUACCUAUGCCCAGCUUUGGUACCCUCCAUCAAGAGCGAUCCACUUGCGUUCGCCUUCGGACAGAUGUUUGAUGUCUUGGACGCAGUUGUGAAGACAAUAUUGAUGCAAGAUUCCAGCAUAGCCAUGUGUUGCAUUUAUUGGUCAAGAUGCUCAGAGAAUGGUGUCCCUGCACAUCGUGGUUAAACGUGAACAGUAUUAUUUUUUUCUUUUUGAAAGCUAAAUGCGUCUUGCUGCAUAAAUUGCAUUCUUGCAGCUCAAAUCUGUACCAUAUCUUUUUUAAUUUUGAAUCAAUUAAUUACACUGUUCAGUAUAUUUGUACUGUUUGAUACAACCAUUUCUUGCUGGCAAAUGGUAACAGUGUGAUAUUUAACAUGACUGCCUGUGCCUGUGUUUUUAGUAACCAGAGUAGGGCUGACUUAAUAAACCAUAUUUGCUCAUUUGCAUACUGAUAUGCUACAGCAAGCCGUAAUGUUGCAUUAGCGCAUCUAAGUGCAAAUAAUUUAGAAAUUUACAAUGUAUUUUAAAACACUGUCCACCGUUUGUGCUCAGCAAAAUAGCUUAAUCAACAGUGGUUUGUUUUUAUCAGGCCUCCAUUGAUACUGCACUUUGCACCUAGACAGUAGUAAAUGUGGAAUAUUCAGUCUUUUGUAUUAUAUUAAGAAAAGCACGCAUUUUCAAACUACAUAUUGUAUAAUAGACCAGUGCCUUCGGGUUACAAAACAAAAAUUUAAGGAAACCGGCAUUGUUACACAAUCUGCUACACAGCACUUUUAGCCCAGUGAACUCUCGUUUCCCAAAAGAAAAAAAAAACUAUUUACGCACUAAAAAAUUCUACAUAUUUUUUGUGCUCAAGUAAUCUUGUUGGAAAGAGAAAAUAAGCAAUAAUGCUCCUGGCUUAAACCUCAUUUAAAGCACGUCUAUGCUUGGAAAAUAUUGUUUCAAUCUCAAAAAUGUUGACCAGUUAUGCCUUACAUCGACUUUCUAAGCUUUUCAUAAUGCUUUGCCAUGACAUUGGUGUACAAAAUAACAGGUGUGUUUCUUGUGUUUGCUGAGAAUUUCAUUUACUUCCCUAAUUGACCUUUGCAAUGUCUCUUCUUUUUUUCAAGGCAUCAAAACUUUAUUUUCGUUCAUUGGAGCUUAAUACUGAAAAUUUAUCACUUGAUCUGGCCCAAAACACUGCAAGGUCAACUCAGGCUCUUUCAGUGCUGCUAUACAUAGUUUCUUCUCUAAUAAGAACAGAUUUGAUCAAUACAUAUAUUUUUAAAUACGUUUGUGGGAAAUGUACAUGUUGUGCUUACCAAUGUGUUUGGUGAUUGUGCAUGCUUAGAUUUCAUGUGAUUUAUGUAUAUCUUGUACUCUGUAUUGUAGCAUGCAAUAAAUACAUUUAUAUUUUUCGUGCAAA